CUCACAUUCACUUUAUCUUUUCUGUCCAUGUUGAACCUCUUUAGUUUCAUCUGAUGUCACUCUGUUGCCCUCCUACAAGGCAUCACUGGCAAGAGCUUGUACUCGUCUCGUUGGUCCUUGUUCAACUGUAGAUCCAGGACAGCAUCACCCCAGGUCUGUUGAUCAGCAUCUGUGUUAUCCCCACUCCCUCCAGAAAUGUCCUUGAUGGCCUUUUGCUUGCAGCUGAUGCCAGGGAGAUUGAAGAUCACCAGAGGCACCAAUGGCAGUGACUGAAGAACCCCAGCAACACUGUCAUACAACAGAAGCACUCUAGCUCAGAGUUAGCAGUUGAGGGUAUAAGACAGUGCCAAGAGGACCUUCCUCAGGGAUCAGAUGUACUCUCUGAAAAUAAAGUAAGGUGGUGUGUUCUGGUGUUAGGUUCAUUGGUUGGGUUUCAUUGUUGUCAUUAUUUUGUACAUAAAGUUAUUUUGGGUCAGAAGCUGAAUGCUUGUAUACUGUGUAAAUGUAUUUGUGAUCAGUUUAAACCUGUUUGUUCUU
rnacentral:lncRNA from 1 species